AGUGCAAACAUUGAUUAACAUAUGGAGAUAUUCCUCUAGGAUGAAUAUAGGUCUCUCUCUUUAUUCAAUUACAUCAGAACUAUGGAACAGCUAUCAGACAAUUACAUCUCUAGUAUUUUGUAAAGUUUAUAAAAGGGAAUAAAUGAGAUGCAUGAGGCAUCGAUCUUCUGCUUUUGUAUUGUGUAAUUGGCUAUAAUGUAUAGCAUUCCCAGCAAACUAUUAGAAAUAAUGAUUUACACAUAGGAUUCUUGGUGCUCAGUCAAACUGCUUAGCAGCAAGCAAUUCCAGUAUGCAUGCAUUUUGGAGACUACUGGUAAAUCCAUUGGUAUGCGACUGUAAUGGAUGUAGGGAUCGGAAGGGGGUCACAACUACACCCACAAUGUCACACAAUCAAGACAACCAACCAAUUAUGCAAUCCAAUCAAUCCAAAUGUCACGCAACUAAAUUAACAAAGGAAACCAACAGCUAAAUGCAGUAAAUAACCAGCUAUAACAAAAGAAAAUAAUAGCAAACAACACACACGAUUUAUACGUGGAAAACCCCUACGAUGUAAAGAGUAAAAACCACGGGACCUUUUGAGGAGUCCACUCUUAACUUCUCUUAUUUAUAAAUUGAAGGAAAAAGAACCCCAAAUCAAUCUACAAAGGAUUCACAAACCACCAAUAAACACCAACAAUAAAAGAAUUGAAAUAGAGAACAAAAAAAUGUAAAAUUCACCCAAAAACAGCAGCUCUGUCCAGAGAUAAUUUCCGAUGAACCGGAGCUCCAAUUGACGAUCCGAACGGUCAGAAUGUAGCCCCAUGUGUCCUCAACAAGCUGACAAAAUUUCAGCAAAAUCCAACGGUGAGAUCUUCUCGGAAAACCAAAAUACUAGGAUUGGUGCUGAGAAAAACGAGCAGGCAGCACCCUUUGGAACUCUCUAGUUUCCUCUCUCUUUUGUGUAUGUUUUUCAAUCUGAAAAAUUGCUGUUCCCUUCACACACUAAAUGUCUACACAAUAGCCUCUACAAGCUUCUCUUGGAAGCCACAAAACACAUACCAAAGUGGAUCCAAAAAUAAAACAUAGCAAGUCCAUCAUAAAAACCCAUAAUAUCUGGGUCCAAAAGCAAUAAAAAUAUUACAAGAUGAGCUGGACCCAUAACAAUGGACUCACGAACAACCAAUAUAGCCAAAAGAGCCCAUAUGACAAAAAUAACAAGAACGCCAAGUGAGCAUGGAAGGAAGAG
rnacentral:lncRNA from 1 species